rnacentral:lncRNA from 1 species
AUGAAGUCAUCGCUCCCCAGGUCCCUGAGCAGAGCCAGCACCCCAGGGACAGGCAAGAGCUGUUCCCUGGCCAUGCCUUCCCCUCCCAUCCACCACUCAGCUGGGAAUCCCAGUGCUGGGAGCUCAGUGCUCUGGGAUGGCCUCCAGGACCACCUGGCUGGAUCCCCACUGGGUCUGGGGGCACAGGAAGGCGCAGCCUCCCUUUCCCGCUCCCCCCCUGUAACUCUGGGUUACCCAACACCUGAAUCUCUGAGUAUCCACAUCCCCAGGAAGUUUGCAGCCUGGCACUGUCACCCCUCCCUGCCCACACUCCUGGGAGCUCACAGCCCAUGGAUACACCUCUAUCCCCUGGUACCCUCCCCCAGGUCUCCCCAUCCCUCUCAUCUCUAUCCCGCCCUCAUCCUGCUCUACUUGCAGCCCCUUGGAGCCCACAUCCCACCUCCCCUGGCACCUUUUCCCCCUGUACCCCCACCCCGCAGUACUGGCACCCCCUGGCACUCCCACCGCUCCGGUAAUUCCCAUCCCGGUACUUCCCAUCUCUGGUACCCCCCAUCCCCAGUAUCCCCAUCCGUGGUACCCCGUCCGCGGUACCUCCACCCCUAUAUCCCCAUCCCUGGUAUCCCCAUCCCAAGUAUCCCCAUCCCGGGUAUCCCCAUCCCGGGUAUCCCCAUCCCAAGUAAUCCCCAUCCCCGGUCCCCCGCGCCCGCGGAGCUCCCCGCGCAUCCUCACCGGGGCGGAGGCGUUGAUCUCCGCUGCGGGAUGCGCUGCGCUCCGCUCCCGCCGCCGGCCUUCCCGCCCGCGCGGAUCGCCGGGAGCUGUAGUCCAGGAUCAGCAUCCCAAAGCGCCGGCCAAGCGGGAAAAGUGCCGCUUCCCAGCGGUUUAUUCCGGAAAAGCCGGCGCGCGCUGCCCUGCGCGGCGGGGACGGUGCCACCGGGGAUGCGCGUGGUGGAUCCAGCACCUCCCAUCCCCUCAAAUCCCGUCUUUUCCUCGGGAGCCGGAGCGCAUCCAGGGAUGUGGGUGCCCUCAGGAGGGGGAUCAGCCCAAACGGGAGCCCCAAAGCCAUGGACGGGGUGCCCGGGGGGUGAGGGGGGGGCUCCUGCCCCACUCAGAAUGGGAAUGGGGAGAGGAGAUGCUCGGGGGAUGCAGGAUUUCCCUCCGGAGCUGGGAAUGGCUCUGAGGAGGCGUCUCCUGCCGUGA